AGAUCCUGAGCAAGAUGGCAUUUGCAUCAGAGAAAGACUUCCAAAAAAGAAGUGGAAAGGAGAUGCAAUGGGAACAAGAGGAGGAGUUAAGAAACAAAAUCAGCAUCUUUAAAGAUAUGAGAGUCUGUCUCCAGAGGCUGAAUCCAAUAUGGCCUAAAGAGAAUUCUGGCAAUGUUUCUGGCCUGGGACAGUCCAGAAGAAGAGAGCUCCUGCGUGUGUCAAAGAAAGGCUUGCAAAAAAGAAGUGGAAAGGAGAUGCAAUGGGAACAGGAGGAGGUGUCAAGGAAGAAAUGUGGCAUCCUGAAAGAUGUGAGAGUCUGUCUCAGGAGGAUGAAUCCAAUAGAGUCUAAAGAGAAUUCUGGCAAAGCUACUGCCCUUGGAAAGGUGGCAACUACCAGAAAAGAGUAGACGAGAAAGAUGGCAAAGCUCUUCUAGGAAUGACAGAAGCAACCAGAGAGGAAAAUAUUAAAAUGUGUAAAAAACUCUUAAGAGAAGAAGAG